GCUUCCCCUCCCCGCCGCCCGCACGCCUCGCUUCUCCUUCUUGGCUUCUCCCCCUCGCACGCGUGUGCGCCGUGGGCCCGCGCUUUCCCUCCCCCUCCGCGCGCCUCGCUUCUCCUUCUCCCUCGCGCACACGCGCACGCCAGCUGCGCCGCUGUCCCGCCAGCCGGCGCACUCGCUUCUCCUCCCCGCGUCGCACUGCCUCCCGCCCUCCCCCAUCCCCCACGCGCCAGCCAUGCCGCGGAGCUGCCUCCGGCCUCUCCCAAUUCUUUCGGCGGCGGCGGCGGCGGCGGCGGCUGGACGUGCGAGCCCAUCGCCAUGGCGGGCGGGAAGAUCCAGAAGAAGCGGCACGGCGGCGGAGGAGGAGGAGGAGGCGGCGGGGGUGAUGGCGCGCGGCUGCAGGGAGGGAUCUCGUUCGACAAGUCCAAGGGGCAACACAUCCUGCGGAAUCCGGCGCUGGUGGACUCCAUCGUCGAGAAGGCCGGCCUCAAGCCCACCGACACCGUCCUCGAGAUCGGCUCGGCACGGGGAACCUCACCAAGCGGCUCCUCCAGGCCGGCGUCAAGGCCGUCGUCGCUACCCCGCAUGGUUCUCGCGCUCAACCGCUGCAUGGUUCCAGUUCUUUAAUCGUUUUCUAAAAUAUAUUACAAGCCUAACUAAUACUACCAUUCUAGGUCCCGCUAAUUUUACAUUACCUUUUUACUCCAGCAUAUGAGGUUAAUAUCUUCCUUCCGAAAUUCUCAGUAUACAAUUCUGUGAGUUGUUUCUUCGUUCUUACAUAUAUGGUGAGUAUUAUAAUCAUUUGGUUAAUUCCUAUUUAUCUUGCAGAGGUAAAUUCCCUUAAGCAAUUCACAAUUCCCAACUGAAUGGUUUACAGAACUUUGCUGAGAUAGCAAAUUGAAGGUAUGCAUAUAUGUCAAAAUCACGUCUUUGCCUCUUGCGAUGGCAUUUGUUUUGCUGUGAUCUUUGAAGGAAGUUAUUCUUUUAAUAUAUGCGUUCGUCAGUAUCCAAAUUAAAUCCAAAAAUAGUUCAUAAAUUUGAUAGAUUUGGAGAAAAGAAUAUUGAUGCCUUCUGUUUUUUUAGUAUUUCUUUAUUUCUAUUACUGAUGUUUUCUUCCAAGCUUCACGCCAACAUAUAUAGGAACUAUGUCAGUCAGUCACAAAAGUACCGAUUUUGAAACAAUACUGCAGUCAGAUAUGCGCUCUCCAUGCUGAUCUCCUUCAGAUUUCAGUAGCCAGAAUUGAUCUGUUCCCCUUCUCCUGAUCGGCUGUUGAGCUACCGAUCAUCUCCCUCUAGGAGCAAAAGCAUUUACUCACCAACAAUGAGCCGUCCAUUACCGCAGGGUGAUCAUCAGCACUGGACACCAAUGGCGGAGCGCCAGAGCCUAUUGGUUAGACCAGAGCAAGCCAAGCCGAGCAGGCGCCACUGGCUGGAGCUGAUGGAAUUACUUUGGUCCGAUCCCCCCACAGGUAUGAUGCGCCAUGUUCUUGACCUGCGUAGCCUCAUCCAGAAACCAGGCUACUAUUUCUGCUGCUACUACUACUACUCCAGUAAGAGUAGACGAUGCUACUACUGAUGAUCUUGCUGUUGCCAUUGCAGUAUAGGAGCUGUAUACCACACUGUUCAAAUACUACGCAGCCUAGAUUCUCCCUGCUCUUAAGCAUCGUGGGUUAAUCUAAUCCACGAUCCAUUUUUAUUUUUAGUCCUGAUAAAACCAACAAAUAUUAUAUGCCAUUGCAGUAUAAGUGGUUUUCUUUGACUAAAUUCUUUUACAGGGCUAUUGCUUUAUUUUUAACACUACACGCUAUACUUUAUUCACUUUCAAUUUGAUGACAGUGUCAAGAAAUCCAUUUAGUUCCCAUUCAUCCACAUGACAAUGUUGAAAAUUGAGUUAAUUUAUGAACUCUGCUAGGAGUCAUUCAAGCGUAUUGGAUGUGGCUUCUAAAAACUGAGGUAUGUAUACCAAAAAAUUUCAGCAUUUCUGUAAUAAUUUUUAGCUUUUGCAUUCGUCCUGUGUUGUUUCCUGCUUGGUCGCUGCAUUGUUGCAGCUGCCCUGUUCGUGCUGAUCUGGAUAUGAGUUUACCUAUCUUUUUACUCCAGAAUUUGUGUUUACUCCAAUUACGAGUUAGUAUAGAAUAGUGGUUAUGUUUUUUUUGUUAUUAUUUCGUUCAGAUUAAUGUUACACAGGAUUUAAACAAGUUUAGUUCAUGAGACUACAUA